UUGUCUCUUCAUCUGACAUUCUUUUUCAAGACACUUUCAAAUUCCUAAGGAAAAGCUCUUUUCCAUCUAAUCCAUUGCCAUCCCUUUUCAAACUCCCCCACAUUUCAUCUUCUUCCUUUCAUAUUCAAUCUAGUUCUUUCACCCUACCCCUUUCCUCUUGCUUUUCUGCAGAUUCAGGAGCACUUCCAAUAAGGUAAAUUUCCUUCUUACUCUUCAUCGUUUCAUUUGCUAAAAUAUGCGCAAGACUGUUUGCUAUUCGUGGGGUAUAUUCAAAUCUACAUUCCCUAUAUUUUAACAAUAGAUGAUGAAUAUCAUGAAUACAAGCACAUACCAGAGACUUAUCUGGGCUUUUCGCCUUACACUUUUUUAUUAUUGAUAAAGAAUCUCCUUCAAUAAUGAUUUUUUUCCAUUGCAUGUCAAUGUCGAUCUGGAUCGCUUUUCGGCACGCAAGUGCCUCAGCCGCGAAAGCUGAUACAACUCGUUGAUGGAUCUCCGAGCAUGAUAAAAGAACAUUGCCCUCACUAUCUCUAGCCACGAUCCCCACUGCCGAUUAGCAAAGUCUCCCAUCGUAUGCUGCAUCAAAAUUAAUCUUCACAACCUAAAACUUUCCUUAUUUAUUUAGCACCUGAAAAGUUCAUUAUAAGAACUGAUAAUCAGGCAGUUAAACAGUUUUUAACUAACAAUAGUUUAGAAACUGUUCCUAGAAGAAUUAGGUGGUAUAAUGAUUUAUGU
rnacentral:lncRNA from 1 species